CAGGAAGUGUGUCUCUUUUCCCCUUCGCUCUUGCUCCAGUGGCAUGAUGUGAUCCACCGGCAAGGAGGGACGUCAAUAAGGCGUCUGAUAAGAUAAGUCUUAUAAAAUAUAUAGGUUUAUGAUAGUUCAGACUGAGCUAACAGAUGAGAAUCCUAGUCAUUGGCCAAGCAGCAUUGUACCUAAUAUAAGUUUCUGUGUAUUCAUUUGGGCCCUAACUCAGGCAGGCGACUGGCGUAAAGCUCACAAGUGGCCAUGAGGCUCAGGCAGCUUUUGGCAGAAAGAGUUAUCAUAACAAAUGAUACUUGAGUAAAGGCUUCUAUGUGAAUACUCAAAAUACUUAUAUUUCCAAAGGAGAUGGUAAUUUUUAUAUCAGUCAAUAGUGAAUGGAUAGAAAAUCGGAGCACAGAUACAACAGAAUCAGUCAAAAAAUAAAGCAGAAUUAAUAAAGUACUAAUACAUGCUACAACAUGGCUGAAAUUCAAAAAAAUAUUACGUUAAAAAGGCAGCCAUGAAGAAAACAUAUUUGUAUGAUUUCAUUUAUAUGUAGUGUCCAGAAACAACAUCAGUAAUUACUUGAAGCUGAGGAAGAUUAACUAUAAAAUAAGUGAAAUGGGUGUGGAAUGAUAGAAACAUUUUAAGAUAGGACUGUAGUGAUGGUUUAGAAACAAUAAAAUCAUUUAAUUGUUCACAUGAAGUAUACAACAAAAUGGAUGAGAUUGCCAGCACUUGGAAAGGGUGGGCAGAGGCAGCUAGAUCUCUGAGUUCAAGGCCUGUCUGGUCCAUGAAGUAAGUUCCAGGACAGCCAGGGCUACACAGAGAAACCAUGUCUCAAUAAACAAAACUCAAAACCAAAACCAAAACAAGAAUUGGACCAAUGAGAAAUGAAUCCCAAACAUUUUCCUCCCAUUAAAAGGAUACUGUUUGCUGAUAGAGCUCUGCUACCCAAAGGGUUGGAGCUUUGGUACAUGAAUGAACUUGCUAACACAUAGAAACAACUCAGCUAGUGGUAUUACAAUUGCAAGAGAACUAUUUAAUGCCAUUGUCCACUUUAUGGAAACACAGAGCUAAACAAAAGCAUCACUACACUUGUCCUCUCAGGACUUACACUUUGCUGUUGGAAAUAGCCAAUAACCAACCACAGAGGCUGGCUGGCCUUGCAUGUCAACGCGUACCACCUUUCUUCUUCCCUAGGUUCACUUACCAUUACAUCUCUGGUUGUUGUUUGAGGAGUGGGUGAAGCCAAGGCUUCCUGAUAAUGUCAGACCUGAGGCCAAAUGCAGACCCCCUGAAGUACAAUCUCACAGUCUAACUUGCAUACCCUUCCUGCGUGGGGUCUGAUUUCAUUUGGGUUACACUCAAGUAGAUACAGAGAGCAUUUGCCUACUGCAAAUGGUUCCUACCUUUUGCCCAUUGAAAUGCUCUCAGGUCAGAUAUGACUGUGGACAACUGGAGCUUACUCUGCUAUGAGCUUAUGUGCAUUUAUGAAUACUAUGUGCAGAACAAGAUUCAGAGAACUGUCCCAAUGUGGGGCAGAGAAACUAGUAAUUUCUACUGGCCUCCCGCCCUUCUGGGGCUGAAGGCUGCUUCUGGAAUCAUUAACCCACAAAGCUUGAACUUGUCAAAUAAGGUCCUUUAUCUGGAAAGGAGUGUGGGGAGAGACUUGCUGAUGUGUCAAGCUGAGCAGCUUUCCAUAGAAAGGCAUCUCCCUAGCUGGGCUUUCAAGUGGUAUAUUUUCCAAAGUUCAGUAUCAUUGUCUGACUCACCAUCUGCCUUGAUGGCCUGACAUAUUGGGCACUGACUUGAGAACCAACACAUAUGUGGGCCAAGGACACCAUCCGGCCACUGGCUUAUGGCACCUGAGGGAUAGUGAAAACACAGAAGUCUCAACCCAGAUGGACACCCCACACACACCGGGAUCCAUGAGAACGGCCUCUCCAGAAUUGCUGGUGUUUCUUCAGCAUUUGCCAGGUGAAGGCAAAUGACAUUCACCUGAGAAAUUCCACUGUCUCCCAUUCUCCGAUGAGUAAUAAGACAAUUUGGCCUUUUCCAGUCUGGUUCUGCAGCAUCUGUAAGAGUCUGAAGGCACUUACACGCAGCGUUUUAGUACCAAUUCAAUCUGAUUAGGUGUGCUGUCAGUGAUUGGGCCUUGAAUCCUAAGCAGGUGGUUUGUUUUCUGCUCUAGCUGCCUCCCUCUUUCUCUUGUGAAUCAUUACCUAAAUUUUAGGGAGCCAAAUUUAAGAAUAAUUCAUGUUCUUUAAAAGGUGCAACAAGGAAGGGACACAGCUGGAGCCAGAAUUUUGCAGCUCUCUAAGGAGCUAGCCUGGAAUAGCUGAAAAGUAAUUGAGCCAAAUAUUCUGCACCCAUUAGCCAGGGUGAUGGAAAGUGAUUAGCACUCAGUAAAACCAUGGCAACCUUCACAUUCUAGCAAGCCCCUGAUCCCAGCUCCCUGUGAACUUGCUCAGUUCCAGCCUCUCUCAACACUCAUGUCACUAAUUGGUGACACAAUUCAUCUCCAUCAGACGCUGCACCCUAUUCCUGCAGUCCCUUGAUUGGUUCCUGGAGAGGUAGAUCUGGGUGUGCAGUGGGAAAAGAAAAGGGCAGGGGAGAUGAAGAUGUAACUCAGUUAAUCACCGUGGGAGAUCCAAGAUGGGCCUCUGAGCUUACUGAGAGUCAUUUGAACCUGCAUAGGCCCAAGGAAUGGGGAUUAGCCACGUAGAAAGGAAGUAUUUGGGAUUGGCAGGAACUGGCCACCAGUGCGAUUCUCACUCUCAGGACAGGAAGCUGGCUGUUUCUCCUUUAAGCAAAGGUGUUCCAUUCAGUCACUGCAAGGGACCAGAAGUCAGUGGAGCUAUGUCAGUGGGCUAGCAAAAAACCAAGAAGUAAGUGUCCAGCUUUGCAGCUCCAGAGAGAGAGAGGGAUGGAGGGAGGAAGGGUGGGAGAGAGAGAGAGAGAGAGAGAGAGAGAGAGAGAGAGAGAGAGAGAGAGAAUAAAUGAAGUUUUAAUAACAAGAAUCAAAGAGUUUUGAAUGGAUAAACAAUCCCCAUCUCUGUGUCUCUGUGAAAGUUCCUAGAGCUACCAGUUUGCAGGCCUGGUUCACGUGAGGGUAGAAACCCCUUACAAUGCACCUGAUAUGUGUCACGUGGCUUCUUCAUUGUAUUCAUCUCUUUUCAAGCCAUCUUGUACGAUUGGGUCCAUUAAUUUCUGUAAUUGUUUAUGUAUUUAUUUUUCUUUUCCCCUUUUAUUGAAAAUAGAUUUUUUUCCCUCACACAAUAUACUUUGGUUACAGUUUCCUCUCCUUUUGUUCCUCCCCAUGCCCUCCCAUCUGGAUUCACCCCCUUUCUGUCUUUCAUUAGUAAACAAAUAGGCUACUAAGGGAUAAUAAAAUAAAACAAAAACUCACACAGUGGAAUAGGACAAAACAAACAAAUGGAAAGGAAAGAGCCAAAGAAAAGGCACAAGCAAUAUAGACUCAGAUGCAUAACUUCUUUGCACACUGAGGAAUCUCCAUAAAAACAUUAAACUGGAAACCAUAAUAUUUAUGCAAAAGAUCUGUAAGGUAAAAG
ensembl:lncRNA